rnacentral:rRNA from 1 species
UUCGCAAUGCCCGAAAGGGUGACGAAGCGACGCCGCGUGUGGGAAGAAGGCCUUCGGGUUGUAAACCACUGUCGGGAGUUAAGAAAUGCAAGGGUGCUAAUAGUAUCCUUGCUUGACUAAGGCUCCGGAGGAAGCCACGGCUAACUCUGUGCCAGCAGCCGCGGUAACACAGAGGCGGCAAGCGUUGUUCGGAAUUAUUGGGCGUAAAGAGCACGUAGGCGGCUAUGUAAGUCGGUUGUGAAAGCCUUCCGCUCAACGGAAGAACAGCAUCCGAUACUGCAUGGCUUGAGUGCGGGAGGGGAGAGUGGAACUUCUGGUGGAGCGGUGAAAUGCGUAGAUAUCAGAAGGAACGCCGGCGGCGAAAGCGGCUCUCUGGCCCAUAACUGACGCUGAGUGUGCGAAAGCUAGGGGAGCAAACGGGAUUAGAUACCCCGGUAGUCCUAGCCGUAAACGAUGGGCACUAAGUAGAGGGGUUUU